GCAAUCAUCUUCUUCCCCUUUUGAUCUGAAACGCGAUCCGUUAUGCAUAAAACACGACCCGAACAUACGAAAUGUUUUAUCUGAUGAUUAGACUCUGUUUUAAUGCCAAUUAAAUCGCAAUGAUGGAGAGUGAUGGUCUAGCAACAUAAUCGUUUCCUUUCAAACUCCAAUCGGUUGAUUAGGAUUCAAUUAUUCACACCAUUAAAACACUAUCAAGAACAUAUUUGGGUAUCUUUUAUUCCGCAAAUCACCAAACAAGGCCUAUACCAUACGAUUCUUCUGGCCAAACCAUGUAAAACCCCACUGAAAUUUCCUCGUUUUAUCAACUGUACAUCGCGAAUUGGAUCAAAGAACAUUCUAGGGCUCCAAACUUCACGUGGCGAUAUCAUCUUCAAUUCUUAACCUUUUUCAGGGUGAUUUAGUCAAUCGUUAUACCUCGUGUACUCGUGCGAUAAUUCUCGUGGGUUAACUCUUCGCAACCUGUUUUCAAAGUUGAUGAUCAAGUGAUGUGGACACGUAGCAUG